GAUGAACGCUGGCGGCGUGCCUAAUACAUGCAAGUCGAGCGAACGGACGAGAAGCUUUCUUCUCUGAUGUUAGCGGCGGACGGGUGAGUAACACGUGGAUAACCUACCUAUAUUACUGGGAUAACUUCGGGAAACAGGAGCUAAUACCGGUUAAUUUUUUGAAGCGCAUGGUUGAGAAGUGAAAGACGGCUUUGCUGUCACUUAUAGAUGGAUCCGGGCUACAUUAGCUAGUUGGUACGGUAAGGGCUUACAAAGGCAACGAUGCAUAGCGGCCCGGAGGGGGUGAUCGGCCGCACUGGAACUGAGACGCGGUCCAGACUCCUACGGGAUGCAGCAGUAGGGAAUCUUCCGCGAAGGGCCAAAGCCUGACGGAGCCACGCGGCGUGAGUGAUGAUGGUCUUCGGAUCGUAAAACUCUGUUAUUAGGGAAGAACAUAUGUGUAAGUUACUGGGCACAUCGUGACGGUACCUAAUCAGAAAGCCACGGCUAACUACGUG
rnacentral:rRNA from 1 species